UAGGGAAUCUUCGGCAAUGGACGAAAGUCUGACCGAGCAACGCCGCGUGAGUGAAGAAGGUUUUCGGAUCGUAAAACUCUGUUGUUAGAGAAGAACAAGGACGUUAGUAACUGAACGUCCCCUGACGGUAUCUAACCAGAAAGCCACGGCUAACUACGUGCCAGCAGCCGCGGUAAUACGUAGGUGGCAAGCGUUGUUCGGAUUUAUUGGGCGUAAAGCGAGCGCAGGCGGUUUCUUAAGUCUGAUGUUAAAGCCCCCGGCUCAACCGUGUAGAGUCGUUUGAAACUGGGAUACUUGAGUGCAGAAGAGGAGAGUGGAAUUCCAUGUGUAGCGGUGAAAUGCGUAGAUAUAUGGAGGAACACCAGUGGCGAAGGCGGCUCUCUGGUCAGUGACUGACGCUGAGGCUCGAAAGCGUGGGGAGCAAACAGG
rnacentral:rRNA from 1 species